rnacentral:rRNA from 1 species
GAUGAACGCUGGCGGCGUGCCUAAUACAUGCAAGUCGGGCGAAUGGAUUAAGAGCUUGCUCUUAUGAAGUUAGCGGCGGACGGGUGAGUAACACGUGGGUAACCUGCCCAUAAGACUGGGAUAACUCCGGGAAACCGGGGCUAAUACCGGAUAACAUUUUGAACCGCAUGGUUCGAAAUUGAAAGGCGGCUUCGGCUGUCACUUAUGGAUGGACCCGCGUCGAAUUAGCUAGUUGGUGAGGUAACGGCUCACCAAGGCAACGAUGCGUAGCCGACCUGGGAGGGUGAUCGGCCACACUGGGACUGAGACACGGCCCAGACUCCUACGGGAGGCAGCAGUAGGGAAUCUUCCGCAAUGGACGAAAGUCUGACGGAGCAACGCCGCGUGAGUGAUGAAGGCUUUCGGGUCGUAAAACUCUGUUGUUAGGGAAGAACAAGUGCUAGUUGAAUAAGCUGGCACCUUGACGGUACCUAACCAGAAAGCCACGGCUAACUACGUGCCAGCCGCCGCAGUAA